UUGCCUCAGCAUUAAAUAAGUUGCCAUGGC
rnacentral:piRNA from 1 species